rnacentral:rRNA from 1 species
AAGAAAAACGGAAAAAGGAGUUGACAAUUGGGGAGGAGUUUGGUAUAUUAACUGAGCGCCAAACGCCGGGCAGGAAAACAGUGGCAAAGAGCGGAAGAAAAAUCCGUGAGCGGCUGAAAAAAUGCUUGACAAGAGCUUGGCCAUCUGCUAGAAUAACAAAGUUCGCGUCAGCCGAGAGGCGGCACUGAUUCAAGGGGAUUUGAAAAAAGUGCUUGACAAGGGCUUGAAGAUCUGGUAAGAUAUAAAAGUUCGCGUGAGACGCAAACGAGUCAAGUGUCGAAAUGAUUUCGAAAGAAAUUGAAGAAAACGCUUGACAAUGAGAGUGCCAUGUGGUACAAUCAAAAUCCCGCCGCUGGAGCGGCGUGCACCUUGUAAAUUAAACAACGUGAAGAAGAAACACGAAGCACCAGAAAAGGACUUGAGGUCCUUUCUAAAGUCGCAAGACUUGGAAAGGCUCUUGACAAAUUUCUUUGAAGCUAUGGAAAGCUUCAAUAAGAUGAUUUAAGGAACGGAAGUUCUUUAGAUACCAUUUUAUUGAGAGUUUGAUCCUGGCUCAGGAUGAACGCUGGCGGCGUGCUUAACACAUGCAAGUCGAACGGAGCACCCCUGACGGAGUUUUCGGACAACGAAAGGGAAUGCUUAGUGGCGGACGGGUGAGUAACGCGUGAGUAACCUGCCUUGGAGUGGGGAAUAACAGCCGGAAACGGCUGCUAAUACCGCAUGAUGUAUCUGGAUCGCAUGGUUCUGGAUACCAAAGAUUUAUCGCUCUGAGAUGGACUCGCGUCUGAUUAGCUAGUUGGUGAGGUAACGGCUCACCAAGGCGACGAUCAGUAGCCGGACUGAGAGGUUGGCCGGCCACAUUGGGACUGAGACACGGCCCAGACUCCUACGGGAGGCAGCAGUGGGGAAUAUUGGGCAAUGGGCGAAAGCCUGACCCAGCAACGCCGCGUGAAGGAAGAAGGCCCUCGGGUUGUAAACUUCUUUUGUCAGGGACGAAGCAAGUGACGGUACCUGACGAAUAAGCCACGGCUAACUACGUGCCAGCAGCCGCGGUAAUACGUAGGUGGCAAGCGUUAUCCGGAUUUACUGGGUGUAAAGGGCGUGUAGGCGGGAGUGCAAGUCAGAUGUGAAAACUAUGGGCUCAACCCAUAGCCUGCAUUUGAAACUGUACUUCUUGAGUGAUGGAGAGGCAGGCGGAAUUCCCUGUGUAGCGGUGAAAUGCGUAGAUAUAGGGAGGAACACCAGUGGCGAAGGCGGCCUGCUGGACAUUAACUGACGCUGAGGCGCGAAAGCGUGGGGAGCAAACAGGAUUAGAUACCCUGGUAGUCCACGCCGUAAACGAUGGAUACUAGGUGUGGGGGGUCUGACCCCCUCCGUGCCGCAGUUAACACAAUAAGUAUCCCACCUGGGGAGUACGAUCGCAAGGUUGAAACUCAAAGGAAUUGACGGGGGCCCGCACAAGCGGUGGAGUAUGUGGUUUAAUUCGAAGCAACGCGAAGAACCUUACCAGGACUUGACAUCCUACUAACGAAGCAGAGAUGCAUAAGGUGCCCUUCGGGGAAAGUAGAGACAGGUGGUGCAUGGUUGUCGUCAGCUCGUGUCGUGAGAUGUUGGGUUAAGUCCCGCAACGAGCGCAACCCUUAUUGUUAGUUGCUACGCAAGAGCACUCUAGCGAGACUGCCGUUGACAAAACGGAGGAAGGUGGGGACGACGUCAAAUCAUCAUGCCCCUUAUGUCCUGGGCCACACACGUACUACAAUGGCGGUCAACAGAGGGAAGCAAAGCCGCGAGGUGGAGCAAAUCCCUAAAAGCCGUCCCAGUUCGGAUUGCAGGCUGAAACUCGCCUGUAUGAAGUCGGAAUCGCUAGUAAUCGCGGAUCAGCAUGCCGCGGUGAAUACGUUCCCGGGCCUUGUACACACCGCCCGUCACACCAUGAGAGUCGGGAACACCCGAAGUCCGUAGCCUAACAGCAAUGGGGGCGCGGCCGAAGGUGGGUUCGAUAAUUGGGGUGAAGUCGUAACAAGGUAGCCGUAUCGGAAGGUGCGGCUGGAUCACCUCCUUUCU